rnacentral:rRNA from 1 species
CAUAGCGACUAUCGUGGCAUAUCAAUAAGCGGAGGAAAAGAAACUAACAAGGAUUCCCUUAGUAACGGCGAGUGAAGCGGGAAGAGCUCAAAUUUGAAAUCUUCAAGGUUCUACCUUGACGAAUUGUAGUUUAUAGAAGUGUUUUCUGUAGUGGAGUUCGGUAAAAGUUCUUUGGAAUAGGACAUCAUAGAGGGUGAGAAUCCCGUAUUUGACCGUUACUUUCCAGGCUGUGUGAUACACUUUCAAAGAGUCGGAUUGUUUGGGAAUGCAGUCCAAAAUGGGUGGUAAAUUUCAUCUAAAGCUAAAUAUUGGCGAGAGACCGAUAGCGAACAAGUACCGUGAGGGAAAGAUGAAAAGAACUUUGAAAAGAGAGUUAAACAGUACGUGAAAUUGUCAAAAGGGAAGCGUUUGACACCAGUGUUGUUUUUCCGAAAAUCAAUUACGAAUGUUUUGUUUCUUAAGGAGUUAUGACUUCAUCGGCUUGCCUUCUCUCUUUACGAAACUUUUGUAAUGCACUUUUCGGUUAACAAGUCAACAUCAAUUUCUUUUGUUGUAAAAGGGUCACUGAGGAAGGUGGCUUUCUUUUCGGAGAAAGUGUUUAUAGCCUUGUGCCUCUGCAAUCGGAGAGAUUGAGGUCUGCAGCGUAGAUCCUUCGGGGUUAGAUACGUUUGUGCUAAGUUAUAGCUUUUCAUAGACAACUUGUUGACUAUGUUUAGUCUUGUAGCUUACUCGCAUGACUGCUAUUUUACCUACGCUUAGGAUGUUGAUAUGCAUGACUGAUA